AAAUAAUGCAGGCAUUGUGAUGUAGCAUUAGGCUACUAUUGAUCUUCUGAUCAUAUGUCAGAAGGAGGAUCAUCUGCUGUGGGUGUUCCUGAUCUUUGAGCCAUGAUAAUGUUACUGGUUGGAUGUCAGGAGCAGGCCAUGUGGAUGAUUAAAAGAUGAAUAUCAUAUACAGCAUGGAUAUGUUGGACAAAAAGAUGAUUCACAUCCCAGACAGAAUGGAGCAGCACAUUUAUUAAAAGCCAGAAGCUAGAAGACGAGGAAAGAAGAGGUGGUUAAAGAAAGAUACAGUAACAGCAGUAAUAUCUAACAGGAAGGCUACAGGGGAAAAUACAGAAAUUCCAUAAAGAACAAACACUGUAACUCAAAACCAAAGCUUUGCUAGUCACUAGUGCCCGCUACAUCCUAACAGGUGCCGCGUAUUUAAUUGUGAAGUCUUUAACAAUCACAAGAAUAUCUCUGAAUCAUUAAGAGAAUGUUGAAAAAUAGCCACAUAAAGAAAGCAAUAAAGGAGCUAAAU
rnacentral:lncRNA from 10 species